AGCGAACGUUUGCGGCGGGCUUAACACAUGCAAGUCGAACGGGCUGUUCCUUCGGGGGCAGUCAGUGGCGCACGGGUGCGUAACACGUAGGUAAUCAACCCUCUGGUUGGGGAUAACACUUCGAAAGGAGUGCUAAUACCCGGUAUGGCGCAGCGGUCUUCGGAUCGCGGCGAGAAAGACCCGCAAGGGUUGCCAGAGGACGAGCCUGCGGCCCAUCAGCUAGUUGGCGAGGUAGCGGCUCACCAAGGCGAAGACGGGUAGCUGGUCUGAGAGGAUGAUCAGCCACACUGGAACUGAGACACGGUCCAGACUCCUACGGGAGGCAGCAGUGGGGAAUAUUGCGCAAUGGGCGAAAGCCUGACGCAGCCACGCCGCGUGAGCGAUGAAGGCC
rnacentral:rRNA from 1 species